UAAGGAAUAUUGGUCAAUGGGGGCAACCCUGAACCAGCCAUGCCGCGUGCAGGACGACGGCCCUCUGGGUUGUAAACUGCUUUUAUCUGGGAAUAAUUCGCUCCUAUACGGAGUUUUGUAGGUACCAGAAGAAUAAGCACCGGCUAACUACGUGCCAGCAGCCGCGGUAAUACGUAGGGUGCAAGCGUUGUCCGGAUUUAUUGGGUUUAAAGGGUGCGCAGGCGGCUUUUUAAGUUAGUGGUGAAAGCGUCCAGCUUAACUGGAUACCCGCCAUUGAUACUGGAAAGCUUGAGUCCGUCUGAGGAGAUUAGAAUGCGUGGUGUAGCGGUGAAAUGCAUAGAUAUCACGCAGAAUACCGAUUGCGAAGGCAGAUCUCUAAGGCGGAACUGACGCUGAGGCACGAAAGCGUGGGUAGCGAACAGG
rnacentral:rRNA from 1 species